rnacentral:piRNA from 1 species
GGACAUCUCAGAUAGUGAUUCCUCACCCA